UCCGAAUUAGUUUAGUGGCUAUGACGGCGCCUUGUCAUUCAAUUGACCAGCGUUCUCCGCGCAGAAUACGGCGCAGACCCGGGUUCAAUUCCCGGAUUCGGAG
rnacentral:tRNA from 1 species